rnacentral:rRNA from 1 species
UACGUAGGGACCAAGCGUUGUUCGGAUUUACUGGGCGUAAAGGGCGCGUAGGCGGCGUGACAAGUCACUUGUGAAAUCUCCGGGCUUAACUCGGAACGGUCAAGUGAUACUGUUGUGCUAGAGUACAGAAGGGGCAAUCGGAAUUCUUGGUGUAGCGGUGAAAUGCGUAGAUAUCGGGAGGAACACCAGUGGCGAAGGCGACUACCUGGCCUGUUCUUGACGCUGAGGCGCGAAAGCUAGGGGAGCAAACGGG